UACGUAGGGUGCAAGCGUUGUCCGGAAUUAUUGGGCGUAAAGAGCUCGUAGGCGGUCUGUCGCGUCGGCUGUGAAAUCCCGGAGCUCAACUCCGGGUCUGCAGUCGAUACGGGCAGACUGGAGUUCGGCAGGGGAGACUGGAAUUCCUGGUGUAGCGGUGAAAUGCGCAGAUAUCAGGAGGAACACCGGUGGCGAAGGCGGGUCUCUGGGCCGAUACUGACGCUGAGGAGCGAAAGCGUGGGGAGCGAACAGG
rnacentral:rRNA from 1 species